GCAGUUUGGAGAAAUUCGUGGUUACCACCAGUCUCGAGUUAGAUUUAUUUCAAUUGCAACCAGGCAGAGUGUUGUGAAUUUGAAUUUGGGUGUGCAUGAUCUUACUAGCUUCUAAUUCUACUGAGCCAUACGGAUGAUGGUGUGUUUGCUCUCACACAUUUAUUCAAAGGAUCAUUGUGAUGAAUGAUACCAAUUCUAGGUUGCUGGAACUUGCAUCCAAUGCUUCUAUUCCCAACUGGUGAGUUUAUAGGUUGCAGUGUUUGUGGUGGUCUCCUCCUGAUGGAGCUCAGUAUAUGCCCUUCUUGUUUACCUAAAAAUCUCUUCUCUCCUAAGAUCUUGUAGGAAUCUUUCUUUUUUCCUUAAGAAGCAUGCUACCAAUGGACGUCAGAUGUUCCAGCACCGAAAAGUUGGUGACCAUGCUUGGGUAUUUCAGAAUUCAUAUGAAAAGCAUUUAUUUUUUACUUUCAGGGAUUGCUCCAUCUUGUAGUUUCUAAUAUGGCUGGACAAUUACGAUUUCACAUAUAUCUGAAAAGCCACAGCCCAUCUGUGUUCUAUAAACGUUGGUGUGGUCUUAUGUGCACCAAGAAUUCUG